UCGAAUUGAAUUGGAUGGGGGUCAAGAUAAAUGAGUUAAGAGAGGGUAAAGGCCCAACUAAACUUGAAUUAAACUGGUAAGGGGGUCAGGGUUUAAGUGAACUAUGGUCAGUGAGGGUAAAGGUAAAAAUAAACUCAGUUAAAGGAGGGUUAGUUUUAAAAUAAACUCUGGUAAGGGAGGUUCAAAGUAAAAAAAGACCUGGUAAAGGGGUUUAGAUAAAAGUAAACUCGGGUAUUAAAGGUCAAGGUGAAAGUGAACUAUGGUAAGGGAGAUUCACGGCUAAACUGAACUGUGGUAAGGAAGGGUAAAAGGCAAAGCGAAUUGUGGCAAUAGAGGGUCCAGGCUAAACUAAACUCUGGUAUGUGAAUCAAGUUAAGAAAGGGCAAAAGUGUAAGUCAAAUGUGGUAAGAAAGGGUCAAGGGUUUAAGUCCACUCUGGUAAGAAAAGGUCAAGGUUAAAGUGAAAUUGGUAAGAAAGGGUAAAAAUAGGAACUCUGGUAAGAAAGGUUCAAGGUAAAAUUAAACUCUGGUAAGAAAGGGUCAAGGUAAAAUUGAACUCUGGUAGGAAAUGGUCAUGGUAAAAGUGAACUAUGGUAAGAGAAAGGUCAAAGUGAACUCUGGUAAAAAAGUUUCAAGGUAAAAGUGAACUCUGAUAAGAAAGGGUCUCUGAUAAGAAAGGGUCAGGGUAAAAGUGAACUCUGAUAAGAAAGGGUCAAGGUAAACGUGAACUCUGGUAUGAAUGGACAAGGUCAAAGUGAAUCUGGUAAGAAAGGGUCAAGGUAAAAGUGAACUCUGGUAAAAAAAGGGUCAAGGUAAAAGUGAACUCUGGUAAGAAAGGGUCAAUGUAAAAGUGAACUCUGAUGAGAAAGGGUCAAGUUAAAAGUGAACUCUGAUGAGAAAGUGUCAAGGUAAAAGUGAACUCUGAUAAGAAAGGGUCAAGAUUAAAGUGAACUCUGGUUAGAAAGGGUCAAUGUUAAAGUGAACACUGAUAAGAAAGGUUCAAGGUCAAAGUGAACUCUGGUUAGGGAUGGUUAAGGUUAAAAUAUAUAUAUAGUAUUACCCUCAUAUUAAGUAAUUGUUUUAUUUGAAUUGGUAAACACAAAUGCAACUUGAGGGCGAUGUUUCUUGACACAACUAAUGAAACUUAUAGAAUGUAGCAUAACAUAAUACUAGUUCAAUAUUUCAUAUAUAAUGUACUUUUUGUGACAUAUUAUUCUUUGAAACAAAAACACAGCACAUCCUUGUUAUGUAGUUAAGCCAAGCCUUUACUUAAAUGGGGGUAAUUGUGGAAGCCUGCCAAGAUUUU